AUCUCAGCAGAAAUGCUGAUUCUGGGAAGGAGGAGGCAAGAAACUCUUGAGCCUUGACAUCUUGGGCAAAUAUGGCAAAUCGACUUGGUCCUUUAUGAAUGAAAACAAGAGGAAUUCAUUGAAUUCAACAUGACCAAAAACAAAGAUUCCUGGAGAAACAAGUUGGAGACUACAUCCAUUGAUGGAGCAAAGAAAACACCAGGAUGGCCAUGUGUGUAGCAGACGUGAUUCCAGUCACACAGAGAGCUGUCAUCUCCAUGUUAGGCUUCCAGGGAGAACCCAGGGGCCUCAUUCACAGCUUGGACACCCCCCCAAAAACUAGGCCCUGCAUA